AGAAGCGUCUUAUAAAAAUCGUUUUUCACUUGUAAAGCAAAAUGUCGAAAUUGAACGAACUUCGUCGUUUGUGCAUUUAGAAAUUUAUUGUCUUGCGGUGAGAUGUAUCGAGCGAAUAAUCAAGAAGGGUAGAACAUGAUUCGUCCUCGCGGUCGGCAGCUUUCCAUCGGGUCGCCAUCAACGAGCAGGCUCGCGGGCAUGACAGAUAUGGUGUACACAUUGCGCCCAGGAAAUUUCGUAUUUUCGCAGCUAAUGACUGAGGAACGAGACGGAUCCACCAAGAAAUGUACAAUAAACAAGUGGCUUCUGGCGGCGAUAACGCCGUAAUUAACACUUCAACCAGUGUGCCGUGCAAUCUCGCCGGAUAUGUUUCGCGCGGAAAGGUGUACCGGAGCUGCUAUAAUAUCCAUGAAAAACGCUUGUUCAGAACCGGAACGACCGUCGAGACCUGGAAACGUCCCGAAGCGCGGAGCUAGUGACAGCAAAGGCGGCGAGCGCAAUAACGGAUAAGCGGAGCAAUCGGACAGUUUGUGAGCGGCCUCUGCUCCUGAUGGGCUGGACGAUGGAGAGACACGGCUGUAGGGAGACGGUAUAUUUAUAAUGACCCUAUAUGUAUGCAAAUGGCCGCAUAUCGUACGCUUCUAUUCCGCUCGCAUCGCUCGCAUUCACACGUGAGAGAAAGAGAGAAAGAGGGGGGGAAGAGAGAGAAAGAGAAAGAGAGAGAGAGAAAGAGAGAGAGAGAACUCCGAUCCACGCGUCAUCUCCGCUUCUCUAUAUAUGACCUUCUCUUUCUCUCUCUCUCUCUCUCUCUUUUGCAUUUUCCGAAUCCGCGAACGUAUUCACGUACGCGCUUGUGCACGUAUAUCGAGAUCGCGUGUGCAAUUACGAACACAUAGAGGCGAAACGUGGGAUGAAAAUGCAUCGAUUGUGCGUAAACGUGAGUCAACGCAAUUCCGCGAGAGACCGCGGCACAAUUUUGCAGUUAACCAAGUCUUUUUGGCCAUUAUACACGAACUCACAGCAUAUUCUAGAUGCGACAGAUCGUUUCCCGAAGCGAGAGCGUUCUAACUUGAGAGCAAAUCUAGUAUAACUUUCUGUAGGUGUCUGCCUAAAGAUAGAAGACGACGUAUGAUUCUAUU